CCCUAGCAGGUGAUAGCCCUGUAUGCGAAAACAGCGUUGUGGAACUAGGUGUACGACAAGUAGGGCGGGACACGUGAAAUCCUGUCUGAAGAUGGGGGGACCAUCCUCCAAGGCUAAAUACUCGUGAUCGACCGAUAGUGAACCAGUACCGUGAGGGAAAGGCGAAAAGAACCCCGGGAGGGGAGUGAAAUAGAUCCUGAAACCGCAUGCAUACAAACAGUCGGAGCCCCGCUUUAAGCGCUUUCGGCGAACCUCACGCAGUGAGGAUCGCCAAAAGACCUCAGUGUGAAAUAGCAGCACUGGCGCGCAAAGCGGUUUAAGCGCGAGAGCGCUUAAAGCGGGGUGACGGCGUACCUUUUGUAUAAUGGGUCAGCGACUUACAUUCAGUGGCAAGCUUAACCGAUUAGGGCAGGCGUAGCGAAAGCGAGUCCGAACAGGGCGUUGAGUCGCUGGGUGUAGACCCGAAACCAGAUGAUCUAUCCAUGGCCAGGUUGAAGGUGCGGUAACACGUACUGGAGGACCGAACCCACUAACGUUGAAAAGUUAGGGGAUGAGCUGUGGAUAGGGG
rnacentral:rRNA from 1 species